CCCUUAGAUGUUCUGGGCCGCACGCGUGCUACACUGAGUGGAUCAGCGGGUCAGGUUGCGCGAAAGCGUUUCCUAAUCUUUAAAUCCGCUCGUGAUGGGGAUUGACGGUUGCAAUUUUCUGUCAUGAACGAGGAAUACCUUGUAAGCGCGGGUCAUCAUCCCGCGCUGAAUACGUCCCUGCCCUUUGUACACACCGCCCGUCGCUCCUACCGAUUGGGUGUGCUGGUGAAAUGUUCGGAUCGGCCGUUUGUCGCGGUUUCCGCGUCAUGUGGCUGAGAAGUUCAUUAAACCCUACCACCUAGAGGAAGGAGAAGUCGUAACA
rnacentral:rRNA from 1 species